rnacentral:rRNA from 1 species
UGCAAGUCGAACGAGUUCUGAUUAUUGAAAGGUGCUUGCAUCUUGAUUUAAUUUUGAACGAGUGGCGGACGGGUGAGUAACACGUGGGUAACCUGCCCUUAAGUGGGGGAUAACAUUUGGAAACAGAUGCUAAUACCGCAUAAAUCCAAGAACCGCAUGGUUCUUGGCUGAAAGAUGGCGUAAGCUAUCGCUUUUGGAUGGACCCGCGGCGUAUUAGCUAGUUGGUGAGGUAACGGCUCACCAAGGCAAUGAUACGUAGCCGAACUGAGAGGUUGAUCGGCCACAUUGGGACUGAGACACGGCCCAAACUCCUACGGGAGGCAGCAGUAGGGAAUCUUCCACAAUGGACGCAAGUCUGAUGGAGCAACGCCGCGUGAGUGAAGAAGGCUUUCGGGUCGUAAAACUCUGUUGUUGGAGAAGAAUGGUCGGCAGAGUAACUGUUGUCGGCGUGACGGUAUCCAACCAGAAAGCCACGGCUAACUACGUGCCAGCAGCCGCGGUAAUACGUAGGUGGCAAGCGUUAUCCGGAUUUAUUGGGCGUAAAGCGAGCGCAGGCGGUUUUUUAAGUCUGAUGUGAAAGCCCUCGGCUUAACCGAGGAAGUGCAUCGGAAACUGGGAAACUUGAGUGCAGAAGAGGACAGUGGAACUCCAUGUGUAGCGGUGAAAUGCGUAGAUAUAUGGAAGAACACCAGUGGCGAAGGCGGCUGUCUGGUCUGUAACUGACGCUGAGGCUCGAAAGCAUGGGUAGCGAACAGGAUUAGAUACCCUGGUAGUCCAUGCCGUAAACGAUGAAUGCUAGGUGUUGGAGGGUUUCCGCCCUUCAGUGCCGCAGCUAACGCAUUAAGCAUUCCGCCUGGGGAGUACGACCGCAAGGUUGAAACUCAAAGGAAUUGACGGGGGCCCGCACAAGCGGUGGAGCAUGUGGUUUAAUUCGAAGCAACGCGAAGAACCUUACCAGGUCUUGACAUCUUUUGAUCACCUGAGAGAUCAGGUUUCCCCUUCGGGGGCAAAAUGACAGGUGGUGCAUGGUUGUCGUCAGCUCGUGUCGUGAGAUGUUGGGUUAAGUCCCGCAACGAGCGCAACCCUUAUGACUAGUUGCCAGCAUUUAGUUGGGCACUCUAGUAAGACUGCCGGUGACAAACCGGAGGAAGGUGGGGAUGACGUCAAAUCAUCAUGCCCCUUAUGACCUGGGCUACACACGUGCUACAAUGGAUGGUACAACGAGUUGCGAGACCGCGAGGUCAAGCUAAUCUCUUAAAGCCAUUCUCAGUUCGGACUGUAGGCUGCAACUCGCCUACACGAAGUCGGAAUCGCUAGUAAUCGCGGAUCAGCACGCCGCGGUGAAUACGUUCCCGGGCCUUGUACACACCGCCCGUCACACCAUGAGAGUUUGUAACACCCGAAGCCGGUGGCGUAACCCUUUUAGGGAGCGAGCCGUCUAAGG